rnacentral:lncRNA from 1 species
AAAGCCAUUAGUAGCUGAGUUGAAAGAGUUAUCGGAUAAGGGUAUUGAUGUUUUCAAUGCUUCGUACGGCCAAAGUUUUUGAAUGCAUGCGGUUCUAUUAUAGACUAUUAAUGAUUUUCCAACCUAUGGUAAUAUUUCUGGAUGGGUCACUAAAGGGUAUAUGGUAUGUCCUAUUUGUAAUAAGCAUAUCCCUUCUCAUAAAUUGAAAAGCAAGAUUGGUUACUUGUAAUAAGCACACCC